rnacentral:rRNA from 1 species
ACGAACGCUGGCGGCAUGCCUAACACCUGCAAGUCGCACGAGACCUUCGGGUCUAGUGGCGCACGGGUGCGUAACGCGUGGGAACCUGCCCUUAGGUUCGGAAUAACUCCCCGAAAGGGGUGCUAAUACCGGAUAAUGUCUUCGGACCAAAGAUUUAUCGCCUUUGGAUGGGCCCGCGUUGGAUUAGCUAGUUGGUAGGGUAAAAGCCUACCAAGGCGACGAUCCAUAGCUGGUCUGAGAGGAUGAUCAGCCACACUGGGACUGAGACACGGCCCAGACUCCUACGGGAGGCAGCAGUGGGGAAUAUUGGACAAUGGGCGAAAGCCUGAUCCAGCAAUGCCGCGUGAGUGAUGAAGGCCUUAGGGUUGUAAAGCUCUUUUACCCGGGAUGAUAAUGACAGUACCGGGAGAAUAAGCUCCGGCUAACUCCGUG